UUCGACGUUAAUUGUUUUGAAAGACAAAAGACGGCGCGGCUCGCACCUGGCAGCCGGAGACAUCAAGCUGGCGGCGUGAUAUUCAUGAACUCUGGAACCCGGAUUUAAAAAUGAUCUUUUCUGCUCUCCCAAGACGCGCAUCGUUCUUAGUGCAUAGCCUAAAUUACGCAAAACUUUUUCCAAUUGGUUUGGCAACACAAACCAAUCCAACUGGAAUGGUUUGUGUUGCCUGAGGCCUAAUAAACUGGCGACUAAACUCACCUGCUGAGGAUCGGCUAGAGUGGGCGAGCAGGCCGCGGGAGCGCCAUGUUGGAAAAAGCUGCGUUGUUACUCGAACCGAGCAGCAGAUGAAGAGUGAGCCGACCUUGGCGUCUCAGGCGGUUUGUUUGGCUGAUGGCGUCCCUGAAAUAUCUGUGGAGGAAAACAAUGGCGUCUGGAACUAGCAGCAAAUCGAUUAUGGAUGUUAAGAGGAUUUACAAGCAGGCUUGUAGGCUGAGGAUCGCUUCAAGCUGCCUGGGGGAUCCGCCCGACCCAUCAAAGGUUGGUUAAGUCAAGCAACUGUUCGAUGGCGGGUCCAGAAGACAUCUCAGGGUAGGAGCUGCUGCGGGUUUGAUGCUAGCUGCUGAUGCUAACGCUGUUGAAGGCCAACGCAAGGCCUGAUGCUGGUUUGGUUUGAUUCUCCGCUGAGAGUCGAUGAGCUGGGAAGGAUUCUGCUGUUUAAAAGCCUUAAGUCUUGGUUGUGGUCAUGUUGACCUGUGGAGGUUUAGGUGUAAUUAGCAUGUUGGAAUCUGAAGUUCAUGGUUAAAAAUCGGACUUGCCUUAAAAGAAAGAUGGCUGCCAAGGUUUUGGCGAAUACAGUAUAGAGGCUGCAGGAAGUCAUUGAGUUAGAUCAAGUAAAUGUCACUAUAAUAAUCCUUGAUACCAUACCUACACAUUAUUGGUGAUAAUUCCAUGUUUCUAUGUUGCCAUUUAUUAUAGCUGCAUAAGAUAUUUGUCUUUUAGAUGAAUACUACAUGUUUUUGGGUGGAAAAUGAGGUCUUUUACAUUUCAAUAUACAUACCUUUUUUUAUUUUUUGUAUGUACUUAAUACUUAGUUUGAAACCUAAUGUAAGUAUUCAGAAAUGGGGUCCAUACUUAAAUAAUUUAACUCAAACAAAUUUUAUUUACGUCCAACAACUUAAACAUGACAACCGGUUGUCUUUGCGUCAAACUCGUGGCCUCUUGUGAUUUCAUUUCUUCUGGACGAUGACUUCAUUUCUUCUGGACAACAAUUUCAUUUCUUCUGCAAGACGGAGAUCAACAGAGAUCUGCUGGAGGUCAGAGGUCACAGAAGUAAUAUUCACUGCCUAAUCCACCCUCUCAUUUGCAGGUUUUCAAAUUAAAUUAACAGUUUUCCUUCUAGAGAGCCAGUGGGACCUGUCUAAGAGUUUUUAGUCUGUUUUUAACCCAGUUUCUCUCCUAGACUAACAUACCAGCAUACUUUGUGUUGCACCUAACUAUUGUUUUCUCUGAUAAAGCCACAAAAGGAGCUUCUACUGCAACUAACGCUUUAUUUUCUCCAAUAUAGAAAUACUCCUGCAGCAGCUCUUUCUUUCUGUCUCUCUGCUCUGUCCUUUCUAUUCCCCCGGGGGUCAUGACAGAUGGCCUUUCAGAACCACCUUCUGGUUCUGCUGGAGGUUAGUUCCUGUUAAAGGGAAGUUUUCCUCUCCACUGUCAGUACAUACAUCUUCAUUAUGAGGCAUUGCCUAAGCUUAUAUAACUUUUAACCAAUUAAAAUAAUUGGUGUAGUGAUCUUUUUUUUCCUCAUUAGGGAAGUCUUCCUGUUAAAGGGAAGUUUUUCCUCUCCACUGUCACCAUGUGCAUCCUCAGUUUGUCUAUAGUAAUAAUAGUUUCAAGCUCAUGGUUCAGAAUUUAAGGCUUUGUCAAUACAAUCUGAGCAAGAAGAUAUAAAAGCCAAACAAGUUUUUGUCGACAUGAAGACUGAAGAUCCUGUGGACAUCAAGAAGGCCACUAUGGCACUGGACUCUGAACCAAACCGUGGGAAAUGUGGUUUGCUACGUCCUGUAGCCAAUCCUCAAGACUUUGAAGUCAUUGGAGGAUUUCAAAGAAAAUUGGUAACAGGUACAACAAAGCAGUUGAUCUAUUCCACAGUCUACGCAGGAAAAUCUGGUAAUCUAUAUGAAAGGUAGGUAUUCUGGUCUCGGGUACAACAACCGUAACAAAUCUGGGAUUCUCUGGUCUGUGAUCAAAUGUGGAAUUUAUUGUAAAAGGUGUGUGCAAAGGAGCGGCGGUGUAAAAAGCUUGUGUAGAAAACGUGUGUGUGUGACGACAAAAACUGACUAGACAAACAACACAUAAGGGAAAAGUCCUUCAGACAAACCCACAGGACCCUGCCCCCCCCACAACAACAAAGGAUGCAGAAGGCCUUCAUUGCACCCCACUGAUGGAUGACCAUAAUGACCCAAGAAAUGCUGCAGGAAUCUCCUGCAUCAUCUUGUUUUCGUCUCAGACUUGGCCCUCGUCGCCCGCCGCAGGAGGCCCCUCGUCGCCCGCCGCAGGAGGCCCCUCGUCGCCCGCCGCAGGAGGCCCUCGUCCCACUUCGCUGAUUGAUGACCUUACGACCUAAGAAAAGCUGCAGGAAUCCUCUCCAUCGCCCCACCAUCAACUGACUGAAAAGGCCUUCAUCAGCCCCACUGAUGGAUGACCUUAGUGACUCUACUGUUGGGUUCAGUUGGUUUUCUGGAGGAAACCCUGCAAGUGAAUCCUCCUGGAUGAUCUUGAUUUUGACUCUGAUUUGGCCCUUCAUUGCUCCACCAUCGACCGAGGGAAGAGGCCUUCAUCACAUUUUUUUUUUUUUUUUAAGGACAGUUUUGUUCAAAGACUGACCCGUUGUGUCUCUGCUCCGUCUUCUCAGCUCCUUCUCGGCGGUGUUUUCAGAUGGCUGCUGGUUCUGAGCCCGGUUCUGGUUCUGCUGGAGGUUUCUUCCUGUUAGAGGAGAGUUCUUCCU